GAAACGGCAUGUCUAGUAUAGCAUUAUACCGUGAAACUGCGAAUGGCUCAUUAAAUCAGUUAUCGUUUAUUUGAUAAUACCUUACUACUUGGAUAACCGUGGUAAUUCUAGAGCUAAUACAUGCUGAAAAUCCCGACUUCGGAAGGGAUGUGUUUAUUAGAUAAAAAACCAAUGCCCUUCGGGGCUUUUUGGUGAUUCAUGAUAACUUUACGGAUCGCAUAGCCUUGCGCUGGCGACGGUUCAUUCAAAUUUCUGCCCUAUCAACUUUCGAUGGUAAGGUAUUGGCUUACCAUGGUUUCAACGGGUAACGGGGAAUUAGGGUUCGAUUCCGGAGAGGGAGCCUGAGAAACGGCUACCACAUCCAAGGAAGGCAGCAGGCGCGCAAAUUACCCAAUCCCGACACGGGGAGGUAGUGACAAUAAAUACUGAUACAGGGCUCUUUUGGGUCUUGUAAUUGGAAUGAGUACAAUUUAAACCUCUUAACGAGGAACAAUUGGAGGGCAAGUCUGGUGCCAGCAGCCGCGGUAAUUCCAGCUCCAAUAGCGUAUAUUAAAGUUGUUGCAGUUAAAAAGCUCGUAGUUGAAACUUGGGCCUGGCUGGCGGGUCCGCCUCACCGCGUGCACUCGUCCGGCCGGGCCUUCCUUCUGAAGAACCUCAUGCCCUUCACUGGGCGUGCUGGGGAAUCAGGACUUUUACUUUGAAAAAAUUAGAGUGUUCAAAGCAGGCCUUUGCUCGAAUACGUUAGCAUGGAAUAAUAAAAUAGGGCGUGCGUUUCUAUUUUGUUGGUUUCUAGAGACGCCGCAAUGAUUAA
rnacentral:rRNA from 1 species